rnacentral:rRNA from 1 species
CUCUACGGGGGGCAGCAGUGAGGAAUAUUGGUCAAUGGGCGCGAGCCUGAACCAGCCAAGUCGCGUGAGGGAGGACGGCCCUACGGGUUGUAAACCUCUUUUGCCGGGGAGCAACGGGCGUCACGUGUGGCGCCACUGAGAGUACCCGGAGAAAAAGCAUCGGCUAACUCCGUGCCAGCAGCCGCGGUAAUACGGAGGAUGCGAGCGUUAUCCGGAUUUAUUGGGUGUAAAGGGCGUGUAGGCGGGAGCGCAAGUCAGAUGUGCAAACUCAGGGCUCAACCCUGAGCCUGCAUUUUAAACUGUGU